UGCCGACCUGCCACCGUAAAACUGCGGCGGCUGGUCGGCAACUAGUUAAAGAGGGCAAAUUGUUGGUGCCUGCUUAGCUGGUGCCUCUGUGACUGAAGUUGCCAAUUUUUUUUUGCAGUGUUGCGAGGUACAGUAUCAUAGGUUAUGACAGUUUUUGGGAAACCGUCAUCUGAUAAGCAUAAAUACGAUCGACAUGGACAACUGGCUGAAAGAAACAAAAAAGGACAUUGCACAAAAUUAUGACCCAGAUUUUUGCAUGAAGAGUGGUAUCAAAACCCUUUAUCCACCAUUCAAGACUUAUAUUUGUCAAUUCCCAGGGGAAUUCAGGCUGUCUAAUGCCCAACGCUAUAUUAGAUUUUUACUACCUGUUGAUUGGUCGCUUGCAAUGAUCUAACAUCGGCACAUACUCACCUGGUGGAUCUGACUAUCACUGGAAUUGUUCUAUCGGCAUUGGCGCACCUCUUAAGCUGCCUAUGAUUCAUCCAAUUUUUAUCAGACUAGACCACGUGAAACUAAAGAUGGGUGCAAGGCCCUGAUGAAGCACAACUGUGCGAAAUAUGUUUGGCCAUCUGCAUAUAUGAAGUAUUUUGUUACUGAAUUCUUCAUGGUCUAUGUAAAACCUAUUAUCAUAUUUUAAUGUUAUUAAUAAAUUCUUAUACCUUUUCAA